rnacentral:tmRNA from 1 species
GGGGAUGAUCAGUUUCGACAGUGUUGUUGAUGUUCUAAGAGAAGCGUGUCGAGUACGAGUGUGACCUUGUAAUCCGUCACUCAAAAACGUAAAUGCUAACGCAAAUACAUCUCGUCUUGCACUAGCUGCAUAAGACCGGGCUUCGUCUUCUUGCUCCUAGGAGGCGGUGCUUGUUAUUUUCAAAGAGCUCAUCAAAGUACCAUGUUCGUGGGUGCCGAGAAACAUUUUAACGAUCUAGGUCGGUCUAGGACAUGUUCAGUAAGUUCCUAGAGGCCGAAAACCUUUUCCUGAACUACACACGUAGAAGGCUUAGGGCCACAGCACUGGACGGGGGUGCAAUUCCCCCCAUCUCCACAG